rnacentral:lncRNA from 10 species
AACUUUCCAACUAAAUCUGGCCCAAGUAAGUCGUCUCAUCAGCUGGAUUAAAUAUACUUUCUUCAUCUUUGGCUGGGUCUUACCAAAAUGAGUGAUUCAACUUCUUAGGAGAGAUUGCUGCAAGGGUUACACCAACAGAUAAAUAUGGGAAUUUCUUUCACACUUGCUCGUUUCAGACCAAUAGCAGAGCUAGGUAAACAGUGAUCUCAUCUUCAGUCACACAGUUUUGCUGACAUUACAAAGAAAGGUGUCAACACAGAUUUAAGGUGGCUGUCAACUUACUGAGUCCAUCAUUUUGGCUUUUGAGUUUUUCACCAUAGAGAGCUAACUGAGAAAAACGAAAAACUUUUUUUUCUACUUUUUUUUUAAACUAGAAAAGCAAUGGCUGCUCCUUAAAUAUAUGUAAAGAAUAGAAAGAAGAGAGAAAGGUACUAAUGUAUCCCACCACCUAUAUGGAAACAGUAUUCAUAUUUCUCCUUGAUUCUGAAACAUUUAUGAUCUUUGCAGGGAAAUUUUUGGUAUGUUUCAGGUAACUGUAGAUGAGAGCUCUUUCUUUUCAAUCAGUUCUGAGAACUUGAUAUCUUAAGUGGUUCUUUAAGUCCAAAAUAUUUCAGUUGAGUUAAACUUUAACCAACCUAGGUGAUUAGUGUAUAUGCUCUAAAACCUUGCGGAACACUUUGUAUCAACAAAUAACACAAACCCUGAAUUCCUGGAGCAUGUAUUAUGUUUAUAUUCAAACAUAACCCUGAAAUGUGUUCUUACUCUAAGUAUCUCAGACACAUUCUUCUUAUUUGAAAGCUUCGUGUAUUACUCAACAACCUCUAACAUAUCUCAGCGAUGUUAAAGACACAUAGAGAAGAAAUGACAUCAUGAAGCUGAUUCUGUUCUUUCAGCUUUGUGUUUAGCUAAUGCUGAACAGAGCGGUGAGUCAUGCAGUCCUGUGACCAGCCAGGCGCUUUUCCAAUCAGAGUCUGUUAAGAUCUUUGACAACAGUACCUGUAGUUGUUUGAAGAGGAGGUUUCAGUAGUGACCUGUACCCUUGGUAAUAACAGGCUUUAUAGGUAACAAAAUGUGUUCUCUGCCUACUGAAUAACAAAACACCAAUCAUGAGAUAACGCUUAGUAAAGCUGACUCAUUUCCUCCUUUACAGAUGAAAGGAGUUGUCCAAGAAAUGACUAUCUCAGAGGGAAAUUUUCCUUCAGGUCAUUACGUGAGUCUCUUUAAAGCAUGGCGGACUGUAGCAUUAGGUUUUCAGUUAUUAGGUAUAUUAAAAAGUAAAUUUUAUUAUGAAAUAAUAUCAUACAUUUAAAGCCCGGUCCGGUUUUAUCUUGAAAUAUGUGAUAACUCCUGGUUUCAGAUGCGAUUCAGAAGAAAUAGGUUGACUUGUAUCAUCAGGUGUCCAGAAGAUUAAAAUUUCUGUUUUAUUAAAAUGUGGAAUUCACGUUUGUUUUCAGCCAAGCAAGGUUUGGUGAUUCUGCAGCUGUCACCCUCAGCAUCUCUGUAGGACAGCCUCUUGCCCCUCUUCACCCAGGUCUGCAGGAGGGUGGCAGCGUGGCUUGGGAAGGCUGGGUGGCGGGAGCUCAGAGGGGGUGCAGUGUUCCCACCACACAGCGGCGGCUCAACUGCCCAGGCUGUGGGGUUUCCAGCUGUGUCGUGUUGACUUGAACCGACUCAGCAGGCGGUGCCCUCCUGGAGCACCUGAAGCCUCCAGAGAAAUAUGAUGGAAAACCAAGAGGCCUCCACCUCCCUGACUUGCUGCGACCUCCUGGGCUUUGCAGCCAGGCUGCUUUCGUGGAUGCAGUCCUCGAAGCUAGUUUGGAAGACAUUUAUUUUUAAAUAUACAGGAAGCCAAAUACGUUGAGAGAAAAGCCGCCUAAUGCAUUCCUCUGUUCAUCUCCAAAGUCAUAGCUGGUUUUCUAGACCCGAUUUUCAUCAGACUUUCCAAAGACAGAAAGAGUCUCCUCUACAUAGGGCUUCCUUCUUUGCCUUCAUCUGUAAUGCGAGCCUUGCCCUAGGUUGCCUCUCUCUCUCCUUGCUCCGCCUGCUUCGGAAUUCUCCUGUCAUUUCAACAGUGGUACCAAGCUUUUUGUUGUUAGGAAAUCACAAAUUCUGAAACACACUCAACUGAGCAGAUUUAAAAAUAACCUAGGCUUCUCUACUAUUUGGGUAAGGCCACUUGCUUGUUUGGGGUUGCUAAUGGGAAUAAGAGACUAUGUGUGAUUACCUCUAGAGCCUGCUUGUUUGCUCUGAGGAAAGUUUUAUUGAAGAGCCACAGGCUGCGUUCCAGAACACUGGCCAAACACUUUGCACAUGUGUGCUGUUGGGUCCUAGCACCGUC